rnacentral:lncRNA from 1 species
CCAGUGCCCAGGAAAGAAGACGGGAGGCAGUAGCAGAGCCUGGGAGAGAUGGCCUGAGGAUGUUGUGAUGGAAGACUGUAUAUGAUCAUAUGCACUGCUGUCCAGAAAUAUUCCUUCCUGCUGGACUCAGAGAACCCCAGGACCUCUACCCAACGUGCCUGCUCCAAAGAAGGAAUGAGGUUCUGCAGAGCUGUGGUCCGAGCCGUGAUCAGGAAGGAUGCCUCGGGAAGUAUAGUUUUCCCCAGCAAACUGCCCAGCAGUGCAUCCGCCGGCUGUGGCUGGCUCCAGUGCAGACAGAGCUCAGAACUCGGCUCCUGCAAGACCCAUCCUGGCUCAUCUACACCAUCGAGGAUGAAGAGCAGCCGCUCUGGCCUAGACAGGAUCUGUCUAAUGGGAGCCGGAGUGGCUGUCCCAUCUUUUCCGAUGAGCUCAGCGAGACUCACCACCUUGGACUGGGCCAGCUCUCUGCAGCUGAAGUAGAAGACAUGCUGGAAGCGGUCCCCAUACAGCUGGCCUCUCCCCCAGGCUUCCUUCACCUGCCUGGCCAGUGUUGACUUCCCAAUUCCAGCAGCCCCCUGCAGUAUGACUAUGCGAGGUUCUUGGGUAUCCAGGCCUGGGCCAAAUAAGUCUCUG